ensembl:processed_transcript 4631405J19Rik RIKEN cDNA 4631405J19 gene
GUUCCCUUCCUAUGGGUGACAGGGCAGGAGCUCUGCUUCAAAAGGACAAGUGGUGUGAGGAGCUACUGAAGCUUACAGAUGAAGGAGACCAAGGGGGAUGACGUCGGCUAAUAUGCCUGCGUUUGCAUGGUGACACAGGCACUAACACUUGUAAUGUCUGCCUGUCACACCUGUGGGACAGACUGGAGUUGUGGGACUGCGCUGGUGGAACUGACAAGCUCAGAAGGAAGAGGCUCUGCAGAGCAGUGACACUGCCAGGAAGGUGACCUUCCUCACGGGCCUCCAGGAAGGAGGUGGGAGGGGAUGCUCUAACGUAUCAAUGCCCUGGCAGAGUGGGGUGUCUUCUAAACCCGGCGGGGGGCACCCAUUCCCUCCCUUGUGACCAGUUCUGAAUGCCAGCACUGUCCUGCCUGCUGAGAAUCCAGAGAACAGGGUUCCUGUCCUCAUGGGUCAGCUGCUAUGCCCGUGGGCAUGCCUUACCCUGACCCUUAUUUUUUUCUGGCACCAACUGCCUGGUGUCUUGGGGAGAGUUAGGUGUGUGAUUGUGAAGACCAGGCAGUCAGAGCCUGGAUCAGCAAUACUCGGUGAUGAGUGCACCUUCCUUCCUUCCUGUUGCCUCAGGGUGGACAGGUAGGAGACCCAGCCAAUGGAUGAAGAGGUGGAGUGUCACAGGAGACCACUACGAAGAGAAAAUGAUGCAGAACAGCUGUGCCCGCUGCCAGGCUUGUGCCUCACCCCCACCCACAACCUCACUCCAGUGGCUGCCUGUGAGGGGAGCCAGUCCAGAAGAAAGCAGAGUAGGCUGGACCGAGUCUUGAAGUUAUUGUGCGAGCCCUUGGAUCCAAUGCUGCCCGGAGCUCUCAGGAGCCUCUUGGACCUCGAACUGAGCCACAUGCAUUCCAUUUUUGCAUGACGGCUGAGUUUCUGGCGGGUGGUAAUUCCAUAAAAUCCACGACCUUGCAGACAGUUUUCCUUCGCUUUUCAGAUGGAGGUUCGGAGAGGUUACGUGGAUUGACCGAAGCUGCACAGCAGCCAUAUGGAGUCUUACCAGCACAAAGCCUAGCCUCCUGCUACUAUUCCCAGGGGGCACGCCUGUAGGACGGGUGAUGAACUGCAACUGAGAGAAGAAGGGAUCCUGCCCAGGACAGGCCUUCCUGAGAGGAUCCCACAAGGUGAUCAUCGCAGAACCUGCUCCACCCUGAGGCGACAGGAAGGAAGGAAGUGUAGGUGGCACACUGGCAGCUGCUGCUAUCUCAACUUUUCUUUCUGCCAGCUUUAAAGAAACAGAAGAACCCGCAGGAGAGCCUGGGCGGUCUGCUCUCUACAGUCAGGAUGGCUGAUCACACUGCGCAGGUAGCUCCACACAGUGGCGGUGUGCUGGCCGCAAGUGGGAGCCCUGCACAGAUGAGCUCUGAAGGCUGUGGUGGCCUCGGAGCUGGUGACCUGUGUGGCAGACCGAGGACAAGUCCCAGAUGAUGACCUGGGAUGCAGCCGGCCUGCCAGCUCGACUUCCUCUGGACCGAUCCCUACACUGAAACCCGCAGACUCUAAGCUCAAGUGGAUGACAUCGUGCACUCCCAGAAGUCUAGGAGGCCGGAAAUGAGAACACAGGCAGCCAGGUCCCUGCAAGGAGCAGCUCAAGUAGAAUCGGGGAAGACAACGAAUGGGGAAUGAAUUGUGAAAAACAAGAAGCAGACCUCCAGCAAGCAGACAUGCCUGGGUUCCUGUGAGCUGCCCAUUCCGCUGCCCUCAGAGUUCACAGGUGAGGGAGAUUCAGCUCAGAGAGGAUACUUGGUUAACUACAGGGAUGCAACUAAGCAGGAUCUGAACCCAGACCCCUGCUUUCCUUGGCCUGAUCUCCAGCCCUCAGGUGAGUGUGACAAGGGACAAUGGCAGCCCUCAUACCUACUACAUGCUUUCCAGUCUCGGACUCUGAACAGCAAAGCCCUCCAUGUUCUAUCCACUAGCAGGGUGGAGGGAGACCCCUUACUAACCCAGGGAGUGGGGCCACAGAGCAAGUGUGAAUACCAUUGUAGAGAUCCUGCUAUUGGGUGCAGAGUAAAUGUGGGUGAGGGAGGGAAGGACUCCCUGCAUACAGUGGUCUAUGUGGCUGUGUCACUCAUAGGACUGACCAGGCCCAGUGGAGACCCUGGGUAUAGCUCUCAUCUAGGCAGCUGUUUCCAUUUCUGGAAUCCAUGAGGAACACUGGACGGGGGGGUCCAUCUGAAGGCGAGUGAGUCAGCCUGUGUUAGAAGUAAGACUGGGAUGGGGCUAGCCAAGGGCACCUGUAACUCCAGCACUUGGGAGGCUGAAGCAAGAGAAGGCCUGUGAAUCUGAGGCCAGUCUGGGCUUAUGGUGAGGCUUUCCCAGCUACACAUGGGAACUAACAACAGCGGCCGCCAUGGAUUAUUCUGAGGAGUAGUUGGCUCAUCACAAGGCACCAAACAUCACCUAGCCACCGUGGAUAUGGCCAAGCCACAGAGGUGCCACCGUUCUAGAAACGGUGGCUCUUGGGGGAGCUGGGUCAGGAUUUCAACCUGGGCACUCUGAUUCCAGAGGCCGCUCAUCUUCUGAACCGCCCCCGCACCUCCCUGCGGCUCCCACUAGAACAAGGACAGCAAAGAAGACUGAAGGAGAGGAGACACCAGGGCCAAGGACGCAGAUUUUCCAUCCAGUUCAAAAGAAGCCAGCCUGGGAUAACUGGCGUCCAUGGGGGGUGUUUGGUUCUUCAUCAACUCUUAACGGACACAUUUUAAAUAUCGGAUAAUACAUUUUUAAAGCACAGCAGGUUCCCAUAACCCAGCAAGAGCAACUCCAGAGAGGCCCGAGGAAGCCCUGGAAUAAAAUCGUAGCUAACC